rnacentral:rRNA from 1 species
UACGUAGGGGACGAGCGUUGUCCGGAAUUACUGGGCGUAAAGGGCGCGCAGGCUGUGCUGCAAGUCAGCUGUGAAAUGUCUGGGCUUAACCCGGGCAUGCGGUUGAGACUGCAGUGCUGGAGUGCUGUAGAGGCAAGUGGAAUUCCCAGUGUAGCGGUGAAAUGCGUAGAUAUUGGGAAGAACACCGGUGGCGAAGGCGACUUGCUGGGCAGCAACUGACGCUGAGGCGCGAAAGCCAGGGGAGCAAACGGG